GGCUGGUUAGCUCAGUCAGUAGAGCAUAGCGCUAACAGUGUUAAGGUCACGGGUUCGAUUCCCAUUCGCUA
rnacentral:tRNA from 1 species